rnacentral:rRNA from 1 species
UCAAGCUACUAAGGGCACAUGGGGAAUGCCUUGGCGCCAGAAGCCGAAGAAGGACGUAGCAAGACUGCGAUAAGCCCCGAUUAGCUGCCUAGCAAGCUUACUCGGGGAUUUCCGAAUGAGGGAACUCAUCUACUUCGGUAGUUGCCUUAGUCGUGAGACUGGGGCGGUAAGCAGGGGAACUGAAACAUCUAAGUACCCUGAGGAAAGUAAAUCAACCGAGACUCCCCUAGUAGCGGCGAGCGAACGGGGAUCAGCCCAAACCACAUAGGCCUAACGGACUGAAGUCCUAUGCCUUUGUGGUGUUGUAGGGCCAGACGUGAGAUCUCUUCAGAGAUUUCAAAGAGUUACAAAAUACAUAUCUAAUCGAACAGUCCUGGAACGGCUGGCCGUAGUGGGUGAAAGCCCCGUAGAUGAAAGGUGUGUAUCUCUUCGUCUGGUUCCUGAGUACGACGGGACACGUGAAAUCUUGUCGGAACCUGGGGGGACCACCCUCCAAGGCUAAGUACUUUUGGCGACCGAUAGUGAACAAGUACCGUGAGGGAAAGGUGAAAAGCACCCCGUGAGGGGAGUGAAAUAGAACUGAAACCAUGUGCCUACAAACCGUAGGAGUUCCGAUUCGUUGGAAUGACUGCGUGCCUAUUGAAGAAUGAGCCAACGAGUUACGUUGCGUGGCAGGUUAAGGCGUGAUGCGCCGGAGCCGAAGCGAAAGCGAGUCUGAAUAGGGCAAUUCAGUCGCGUGGCGUAGACCCGAAACCGUGUGAGCUACCCUUGGCCAGGUUGAAGCGAAAGUAAAUUUUCGUGGAGGACCGAACCCUUGUAAGUUACAAAUUGCUGGGAUGAGCUGAGGGUAGGGGUAAAAUGCCAAUCGAACACGGAGAUAGCUGGUUCUCCCCGAAAUGCAUUUAGGUGCAGCGUCAAGUUUUAAUUUGCGGAGGUAGAUCACUGGAUGGGCUAGGGGGCGUGAGCUUACCAACCCCAACCAAAAUCCGAAUACCGUAAAGGGUAUCUUGGCAGUGAGACAGUGAAGGAUAAGCUCCAUUGUCGAAAGGGAAACAGCCCAGAUCGCAAUCUAAGGUCCCGAAGUGUGUGCUAAGUGUGAAACGAAGUGGGAACGCCCAGACAGCCAGGAGGUUGGCUUAGAAGCAGCCAUCCUUUAAAGAGUUCGUAACAGAUCACUGGUCAAGGGUUUCCGCACGGAAAAUAAACGGGGCUUAAGCACACCACCGAAGCUGCGGAUCUAUUCCAUUUAUUUGGAGUGGGUGGUAGGGGAGCGUUCUCAGUGCGCCGAAGUCAGGCUGUAAGGCCUGGUGGAGCGUUGAGAAGUGAGUAUGUUGGCAUAAGUAGCGACAAUGUCGGUGAGAAUCCGACACGCCGAAAGUCUAAGGUUUCCUACGCAACGCUGAUCGACGUAGGGUUAGGCGGGCCUAAGGUGUAGCCGAAUGGCGAAGCCGAUGGACAGCAGGUCAAAAUUCCUGCCCCGUCUUAAACUUGUUUGAACUAUGGAGGGGACGCGGACUGAUAAGUAACGCAUGCCUAUUGGAUAUGGUGUGUGCAUUUCUGUAAGUGAGUGACGAGAGGUAAAAAGCUCGUCAUGUCUGAGCUGAGGGACGUGCGAACCAUGAGGUUCUCCUCAUGGAACGUUGCCGAUUCUAUGCCGCCUAGAAAAGCCUCGAUAAUUAGAGUUUAAGUCGUCCGUACCGCAAACCGACACUGGUAGACAGGGAUAAAUGUCCCAAGGCGUUCGAGACAACCAUCGUUAAGGAACUCGGCAAAUUAACCCCGUAACUUCGGGAGAAGGGGAGCCUCUGAUGUAAUAGGACUUGCUCCGAAAGCAUUAGUGGCCGCAGAGAAUAGGUUCGAGCGACUGUUUAUCAAAAACACAGGUCCGUGCUAAACCGAAAGGUGAUGUAUACGGGCUGACGCCUGCCCAGUGCCGGUAGGUUAAGGGAGGAGGUGAGAGCUUCCGACUGAAGCCCCGGUGAACGGCGGCCGUAACUAUAACGGUCCUAAGGUAGCGAAGUCCCUUGUCGGGUAAGUUCCGACCCGCACGAAUGGCGUAACGACUUGAA